rnacentral:rRNA from 1 species
AGCGAACGCUGGCGGCAGGCCUAACACAUGCAAGUCGAGCGAACUCUUCGGAGUUAGUGGCGGACGGUUGAGUAACACGUGGGAACGUGCCUUUUGGUUCGGAAUAACUCAGGGAAACUUGUGCUAAUACCGAAUGUGCCCUUCGGGGGAAAGAUUUAUCGCCAUUAGAGCGGCCCGCGUCUGAUUAGCUAGUUGGUGAGGUAACGGCUCACCAAGGCGACGAUCAGUAGCUGGUCUGAGAGGAAGACCAGCCACACUGGGACUGAGACACGGCCCAGAAUCCUACGGGAGGCAGCAGUGGGGGAUCUUGCGAAAUGGGGGAGAGCCUGACGCAGCCAUGCCGCGUGAAUGAUGAAGGUCUUAGGAUUGUAAAAUUCUUUCACCGGGGACGAUAAUGACGGUACCCGGAGAAGAAGCCCCGGCUAACUUCGUG